rnacentral:rRNA from 1 species
UACAGAGGGUGCGAGCGUUGUCCGGAAUCACUGGGCGUAAAGGGCGCGUAGGCGGGAUGGCAAGUCGGUCGUGAAAUCCUUCGGCUCAACCGAAGAACGUCGGCCGAUACUGCCGUUCUUGAGGGAUGCAGAGGAGAUUGGAAUUCCCGGUGUAGCGGUGAGAUGUGUAGAGAUCGGGAGGAACACCGGUGGCGAAGGCGGGUCUCUGGGCAUCUCCUGACGCUGAGGCGCGAAAGCGUGGGGAGCGAACAGG